CUUAUGUUGCUUUUUGUGUGUCAGGUUUACAGCAUUCUCUGAGUUGUUACCUCUUCUGGCUGUGGGCACCAUUCCUUUGUUGAAGGUUGAAAAUAUUAGCCAAGCGAUUAGUACAAGCAACCUUACCAUAGAGAACUCAACUACAUUAUCAAGCCCUUUUGCCACCUCUUCUUUCAGUGCAAAUGCUGCCUUUGAAGUUCGAAGUCCGUCAAGAAUACAGGUUGAAUUCAAAGAAGGGACAGUUAAUCCUCCAGAGGUUAAGUCAAAAAUAGACCUGCCGGAGAACGUUGAUAUCUUUGGCCAAACCAUAAGUUUGUCACCUAUACAGCAAUCUCUAGGUCCUCUGGAAAAUGUUGUGGCAGGUAUAGCCCGAGCUAUUUCUGGUCUGCCUCCUCUCAAGAUUCCGAUUCCAGGUGAGAGGACGAAGUCUUGGCUUAUUACGACAUACCUUGACAAGGAUCUUCGGAUCUCAAGAGGAGAUGGUGGGCUAUUUGUUCUUGUUAAGGAAGAGAGUUCUCUUAUAGACCAGUAGCAAGGCUCGAUCUCACUCUGCCUUCCCUCCCCUCACCCCAUUUGUGGGAUUACACUGGGUUUUUUGUUGUUGUAUACUGUAUAAUGAUAUAUAAAGGUCUUAGGAGCUUCAUUUAUACAAUAUAGUAUAUACGACACAUUAUUUGUAAAGGGAGAUACAUCCCACAUUUUUAUGUAUAAGAUGCCAUUUGUGUAGCCUUUACUCACAGUGGAAGGAACCAAAAACUGGAAAUGAACAACAUUUGCAUCUAAUAUGAUGUUAUUUUGAAGUUCUGGUGGUAUUUAGAUCCAGCCGUUUGUAAAA